AAAAAGCUUAUGAAUCUGCCUACAUGGGUGAAAGUAGCAAAACUAGGCUCUGAUUGGAUGGAAUUUUCCAAGUAUUCAAAGAGUGGUCCUGAGUUACAUUGCCUAACUUUUUUCUGCACCCUUAAUGCAAAAUCUAUGAAUGACAGUAUGUUUGUAUAUGUACUAAAAAGUGAAGAGCUGUAA
rnacentral:lncRNA from 1 species